GAAUCAAAGGUUCAUCUCUUACUAGGUUGAAUUGCUAUUGCGACAUUGUUAUCGUUAAGGUAAAACUAACCUGUCUCACGAUGGUCUAAACCCAACUCACAUUCCCUAUUGGUGGGUGAACAAUCCAAAACUUGGUGAAUCCUGCUUCACAAUUAAUA